rnacentral:rRNA from 1 species
GACGAACGCUGGCGGCGUGCUUAACACAUGCAAGUCGAACGGAAAGGCCCUGCUUUUGUGGGGUGCUCGAGUGGCGAACGGGUGAGUAACACGUGAGUAACCUGCCCUUGACUUUGGGAUAACUUCAGGAAACUGGGGCUAAUACCGGAUAGGAGCUCCUGCUGCAUGGUGGGGGUUGGAAAGUUUCGGCGGUUGGGGAUGGACUCGCGGCUUAUCAGCUUGUUGGUGGGGUAGUGGCUUACCAAGGCUUUGACGGGUAGCCGGCCUGAGAGGGGGACCGGCGACAGUGGGACUGAGAGACGGACCAGACUCCUACGGGAGGCAGAAGUGGGGAAUAUUGCACAAUGGGCGGAAGCCUGAUGCAGCAGCGCCGCGUGCGGGAUGACGGCCUUCGGGUUGUAAACCGCUGUCGCCUGUGACGAAGCGGGAGUGACGGUAAUGGGUAAAGAAGCACCGGCUAACUACGUG